UACGUAGGGUGCAAGCGUUAAUCGGAAUUACUGGGCGUAAAGCGUGCGCAGGCGGUGAUGUAAGACAGUUGUGAAAUCCCCCGGGCUCAACCUGGGAACUGCAUCUGUGACUGCAUCGCUGGAGUGCGGCAGAGGGGGGAUGGAAUUCCGCGUGUAGCAGUGAAAAUGCGUAGAGAUGUGGAGGAACACCAAUGGCGAAGGCAGCCUUCUGGGCCAACACUGACGCUCAUGCACGAAAGCGUGGGGAGCAAACAGG
rnacentral:rRNA from 1 species